UACGUAGGGGGCAAGCGUUGUCCGGAUUUAUUGGCGUAAAGAGCGUGUAGGCGGCCAUACAGGUCAGCUGUGAAAACUCGAGGCUCAACCUCGAGACGUCGGUUGAAACCGUAUGGCUAGAGUCCGGAAGAGGAGAGUGGAAUUCCCGGUGUAGCGGUGAAAUGCGCAGAUAUCGGGAAGAACACCUAUGGCGAAGGCAGCUCUCUGGGACGGUACUGACGCUGAGACGCGAAAGCGUGGGGAGCGAACAGG
rnacentral:rRNA from 1 species